UGGGAUUGUCCAUGAGGUUCAGUUUCCAGAUGUUUUCUAAUCUUUAUCCCCUUCAGUGACUUUGCCAGGUGAUGAUGCAUCACCCAUGAAAGGGGAAGGCUAUUUCUCAGUAAGGGAGAUUUCCUUGUGUGCACUGAACUGAACUGAAGAGCUGGGAGAGAAAUCAUUUAUAUUUAGUGAUUCUAGGGGUUCAAGCUGUUCACCUGAGCUGGGAAAACAUUAGGAAGCUACCUGCUCAUCCAAGCACCUCUCAGGAGGGGAAAAAAAGAAAACAAAAGCAUUUUCCACAGUGAAGAAGAAGGUUUAGAAGGGUUUGGCUCCUAGAAAUUGAAAUAAGACAAGUUUAGAGUGAGGGAUUACCAGACAUGUUAUCACUUGGUUUAAUUAAGACACAAGUACUGAAAUCCAGGCAGGGUCUGCAGCCUGUCAUGGAAGAAAUGUGAGCAUAUGAUCACAAGAGGUUCAUUCCAGCUUUGCUCCCUCCUGGGCAUUUAAGAGCACUUUGUUUACCCAGUCCUGUUCUGGGGAUUUCAGGCUCUUCUAAAUCAUCAGUUCAACAGGCACUCGUAAAUCCAUUGUAAGCACACAGCCAGGAGCACAGUAGCUCUGUCACAAGAACCAUUCAUCCUGAGCCCAGAGAAUCACAAAAUAGAAAUGAUUUCUCUCCCAGUUCUUCAGUUAUCCAACGGCUCUUCUGCUCAGUUUUCUAAUUUCUCAUUAGAAGCAGAGGUAGUGCUCCUUCAGUGACCCCAACUAUGCCAAAUAGUCUCCUUGCUCCACUCUAGUUAUUUUUAAUCUAGUUCUCCAUCUUCUACUCCAAAAUUUUGCCAGGAUCUGAGUCAAGCCAAAGCCCACAUAAUGGCUUUAUUGUCCACAGAGCCAUUAAAUUAGUGAUAAUUCUCUGGCUAUUCCCUGUAUUACUGAAAAUGAGCUUUCCCAGCCAACUUCACCAGCUUAACAAUUAGCACCUACUUUAAACUGCAAUUUUAGCCUUCCUUCAAGGAGCAGCAGAUUCCACAAGUAUGGAGUGAAAGUGUGGGGUUGUGGGUGGAUGAAUGACUCAAUCAGUCUGCUUAUUCCAGAAGGAUUCCUGGAUUCCUGCCUUAAGGUACUAGAAGGGGAAGGAAUCCUUCUCUCUCACAUCUGUUAUGAGAAGCUCCCCUUCAUCUGCCAGCUUUGUGGCAAUUGUUUAGACUGUUUAAGUUAAAACAACUUCAACACCUGUCCUCUGAUUAGCUGAUGGAAGGACUGCAAAGCCUCUUCAGUGUAAUGUUCUGAUUGCCAUCACCGGACGUGCCAGAUUGUCCCCAUCAACUGAUCACUUAAGAUGGUGACACUCACUGGAUUUGGGAAGGUAAAGUCUGUGAGAAGUCAAAGGCUCAUAAAGGAAAGCAAUUGCAAGUGAAAGAUUUGCACAAUUAUGGUGUAGCUCUUAUUUCUUUUACUUCCCUUCUGGCUAGGUAGAUUGUAAAUUUUUAAAAAGUAUUUUUUAUUAUUUUUAUUUACUGAAAAAAUGGGGAUAAGGGAAGAAAUGCAUCAAGUUUAGGUUUUCCUAGUGAAAAUAGAAAAUAUGGAAUAUGUUCUGGCCCUGUUAUUAAAAUGUUCCAGUGGAUUUGGCCCAAAUAUUCGUAAAUGUUUUAUUUCAAGUACUGUGGGAAAAGCAAAGGAAGGGGAAAAAAAAAGUUUCUUCAUUGACUUGCUGGGACAGGAACUGAAGAAGGGAGGGGUGGUGAUUGUACUCACUGUCAUCCAAACAGGCAGCCUGGAUGGAAUUUUGUCAUUGUGCAAAUUUAAAAAAAAAUAUGAUCCAGAUCAGGACAUUUUAUAAUCGUGUGUUUGCCAAAUUGAAAGAGAACUGGGUAUUCCCUUUAAUGAACAUUUAAUCCAAGGAUUUGGAGUCUUUUCUGAAAAGCAAACCUGUAGGACAGCCAACAUCUGUGGCUGGUGCUGCUCUCCUGCCAGAAAAAUCGCUUUGACAUUAUUGCAGGCACUUACAAAGCUCUUUUUGGCUACUCCCUUACCAAUGUGAUGAUGUUAUUUGAGGGCCAUUAUUUCAAAGUACCCCCAAUUAAAACGUUUUUUAUUUCUUAUAAAUCUUCUGCGAUUUCUUCUGCCAGCUAAUCUGGUGUUUACGACUCCCAGGGCUUGCAGAAAUAAUCUGUAAUUGUUCUUACUUUCCACUCCCAAUAUUAAGACACUUUUCCUUGUGUUUACCACCACACCUCUUUGUCUUCUGAUGGAAUUUUGUAUUCUGCUAUUCUCUCCUAAUUCCCUCUUAAAACCAGUAGUGGUGCAAUCAUUGUAUCAGGAAGCAAUAAACAGAUUUAUUUUAUGCUUUUUGCAAGAAAGAAUUUUGAAGUCCAGACUUUCCAAGAACUUGACUUUUUGGAUACACUGAGAAUGAGCAAAAGGAAACAUUGUGUCAGUUAUACAAAAAUCAGAAGAUGUUUUCUUGAUAAAAUCAAAGGAUUUUACAGAGAUACAUGAAUUGCAGUGAACUCUCCCCAGAGCACUAACAGCGUCUGAUGAGCUUUUUUGAUGACUUCUUGUCUUGGCUUUGUGCUCUUUUUGGAACAGUGAUCUGAAAUGUUUGGUUGGUUUUUUGGUGGUGGUGCUUUCUUGUUUUUUUUUCCCUCCCCCUCCAAAAUGAGGCUUUCAUGGAAAACAUCUUUUUUACAUCCUUAUGUCUGUGUAGAGAACAAGUUCUUGGUGUGAACUCGUACAACACUCCACUCUUAACUCAUCAACAGGUGCCAAGAGCAGCUCAGAAUUAUUUCAAAUUAAUCACAGGACUAACAUCUUCAAUAAAAGCUGUGUUAGCUGGGAUGCCAUCUGCAUAUUCUCUUCUCAUGGUGGCUGAGGAGCAAUCCAGGUAAACUCCAGCUGAUCAAAGCUCUCCAUAGUAACCAGCAGCAACUCCAGAAAGGAGAGAAAAUCAACAACUUAUUCAAAGCAGUGUGAACUGGAAGGUGAUUCAAGUCAACUGGAAAAAUCCCAAAUGAUGUCCUGCUGGUUGAUGUUGCUGCCCAAGGAGCCUCUCCUCUGUCAUGGAGGGAAAUGAAUGGGUGACAGGGGACAACUGGCCUGUGAAGGUCUGUGCAUCUAGAAAAGAACUAAUAAGUGGAAAAAAGCAGAAGUUCUGUUGGAAAUAACACUGAGUCUUGAAACAAAGUCCUGGUGCUGGUAGCAGUUCACCCCAGCACAGCCUGGGGAGUUAAAACCUGUGUCAGUGCUGGGCAACUGCAGUUCAGGGGUGUCUGUGCCUCUCCAGAGCUGCCCUGCUGGCUCUGACUGCUGGGGGUCCUCAAAGGAGCUGGAGAGAAGGGAAGGAUCCAUGAAUGAAUCCCAGGAAUGGCAUUCAGCAUUCCUGUUGGGCUACACCACGAACUGGCAAGGAAGUUCAAACUGGAAUCUGCCUCCUGUGUCUCUGUCAAUAACCACAGAACCUGUGCUUGCUUUUAAUAAAACCAGAGAGUCAUUAACGUUGGAAAAGACCUCUAAGACCAUUGAAUCCAACUGUUAACAAUAUUGGCUCAACAGUAUGUGGCUGGGGGAUAAAAAGUUGUAUUGCUUUAAAAAUUUACUAAUUUGCUGAAUUCAAAUAAAAGUGGGAUUUAGUGAAGCAAGCCGAGGGUUUGUGUCUGAACAUCUGGCUGUAGAUGUGACCACUAUUGUGUGCCAGGGAUCUGCAGGACUCUGUUCCACCCCUGUUGGAAAUACCAUGCCAGCAGAGGUCUGGUUUGUGUCAAAACAAACACUGGAUAUGUUGCUUCAUAUAAAACAGAGUGUUCAGCAAGAACAGUAAUGAAAUAGUUGGCUAUAAAAACCCUGCUGUUCUCAGAACUAAAAUGUGAUGCACUUACAACAGAAAGGGCACUUUUUGUAAGACAUUGAAGUCUUCUUUAUAUGUUUUGAAUAUAUUUUACUAAAUCAGUUGCCUGGAAAUGGAGUUUAAUUCUGGAAUUCAAUGAAUGUUGAACAGUCGUUUCCUCUCUGCACUGUUGGUUGUUUUAUAGGUACUUCACAUGCACCUUCUUCAGUCAUGUCUUCUGAGAGCCAGUGUUACAUGGAUUUAUUUGGAUGGGAAAUGGUUCCUCAGUUGGGGUUAUCCUUUUUGUCUCUCUCUGGAUUAUUUUACCAUUCACAACUGCAGGUAGCAUUGCAAACACAGAUGCAUCACUGGUUAAUGCAGCUGUCCUCUGCCUCCCUCUCCAGUAUCUCCCUCAGUGUGUUAACUGCAUUUUUUCAAUGAUAAGAAUUGAUUUGGAAAAUCACUCUGACAACUCCUCUGCAAAGUGCUCAUCAAGGAGUCAUCAAGGACUCAGGUUCUUGCCUUCUUGCAUGUCUUUGCAUUGUCGAAUUUUUAUUGUCCAGGCUUUGUUGCAGGACCUCCUGAUGCUUUCUGCAUGGUUGGUCUGAAUAACUGUGUCAAAAACUCUGUCUUAAGGAUCCUGGAAAAGAACUGGAUACCACUUGGCAACUAUGAGCAUCCUGUGAGUGCUUUUGGACUUCUUUCCUUUCUGGAAAACAUCCAUUCUUCCCUAGCCUUUAAGCAACUGUUGGUACAAAACUAGUCUUGGACUUAAUUCUUGUCCUGUGACAGCUCAGUAUGUUUAAGUGCCUUCAUAAAGGCACUGCUGAAAGAUGCAUUUAAGUAAAAUAAUAAAUCUGUGGUGUAUCAACAACAGAUCUUUAUCUCUCCUGUUGAUGCCUUAACAUUUUUAGAUUUCCAGGGCAAGAGCUCUCUCUGCUCUUAUCUGAGUGUUUGAUCUACUUGAGACUUUAAUAACUUUUAUUAGUUAUUUAAUAAGUUAUGUAAGACAUUUAGUAAGUUUUUUAUUCAGUGCAGUGCUGUGAUGGGGUUUUUUGCUCCAUAAUCAUUCCUCCUAUGUUUUACUCCACAGGAAUUCUGAGGAAAAUCACAGAUCCAGCUGCUCUGUAACUGAACUGCCUGACCAGCUGCUCCAGGGCAACAUCCACAGCUCCAUCCCUCUGCUCCUUGGCUGCCUGGUUGAGCCCCAAGAAGCUGUUCAUGGUGUCUAAAAAUGAUACCUCUGCCCUGUGUCCAAGUGUGUGUCCCACUGCACAUGGCAGACACGUCACCUCUGUUCCCAUCCCACGCCAGAAAUCUGGGCUCCCAUCCUCGGGAAAUCACCCUCUGUGGCUUUUUCAGUCAAAAGGUUUGUUUUAAACAGUGCUCAGAAGUGGUUUUUCUCAGGCUGUGAGACAGUUUGUGGUGUUACACUGACCCUUUUUUGUUCUGUUUCAACAGCUAAAAAUCAGGGGUGAUUUCUGUGGUGUUGCCUAAGGAUGCAUCUCACUGAGUUUGUCUUACACUCUAAACCAGCUUCUGAGCAGCUCACAGCCUGUUCAGAACAAUCUCUUCUCUGCAGUGCCUGGCCUGGGACAUGCCAGAGGAAGGAUGCAUUUCCUCCAGCAGAAAAUAUCAAGACAAGGGACAAAACAGCAAACCUUUCUGUCUGUUCAGAGUGUGUGUUUGCAUCCUCAUGUGCCCUUCUACCAGUGUAAUGCACAGAAGAUUUCCAGGACAAACAAACUGCGACUGCACUCCCCUUGUUCAUGGCUGGGCACAUUCCUGUGACCAGGAUUGAUCCAACAAGCAGUGGUGGAGCAGAGCUGGCUGUAGAGCUCAGCCACCAGCUAAAAUCUGCUGAGUGUGUUUGAAUCUUUGUCUAGAGCACAGAUUUAGCUUAGAAUGGGAGAGGACUCCUGGACAGCUCUGGAGAAUCAGCCCUUUUCUGUGGUGUGGAUGCAUUGAGGUCAUCGUGGUUGAUCCUUGGGUUCACAGUGGUGUCAAUGUGGACCAAUUUAAUUUAGGCAAAGAUGCCAAACUGCACCAGGGCUAAACCAAAGGCCAGGAUUUGUUACUCUGGCUUUGCUGUUCGGGGCAGACAAACUGUCAGUAUUUAGAACUGAGAGGAUUCCUUGUAGCAAAGCACAGGAGACUCAAGGUGUGGUUUGAGCUGUUCGAAUUUCUCUGCUGGAUUAAACUGGGCACCUCUAAAGGUCUUCUUUAAAAACAAAGAAGAGAAAGCUCCUGUUUAACCUCCUGGAGGCUCAUCAAACCCCACAGCUGUCACAGUGCCCAAGAUCUAAUUUUAAAUGGGCCAGGAGCAAAGUUGGGGGUUAGUGCAGACACUUUUAACUGUGUCCUUUGGGUACCUAAUUUUUGUGAGGUGUAAUGUUCUUGUCCUGUCAGCACAGAAUCACAGAAUAUUCUGGGUUGGAAGGGACCCACAGUGAACAUUCAGUCCAGCUCUUAAGUGAAUGGCCCCUACACAGGAUUGAACCCACGACCUUGGCAUUUUUAGCACCAAGUUUUAACCAGCUGAACUAAUCUCAGGGUCAUCAGUCACCAGCACAUCUUCAUUUCACUGAAUAACAGCCCCCCAAAUCAUAAGUCUUGGAAGUUUUACUGGCACACAAAACUGGGUUUGUGUUUUUAGCAGUUGUCUUUCCUUCCCAAAAGGAGCUGCAGGCAGACCCUGUCCCUCAGGAACUGCUGGGAUCAAGGCUUUGUGACCAGGUUUGCAGCAAACCCUUUUUGCAAGAAUGCCUGUUUAAACUCAUGAGAAAAAUAGACCACAGGGGACAUUCAAGAGAAACUUGUAAUUCCUGUUGGACACCAAAACAAAAAACUAAAAUUUUUCAAUGCCUUUGUCCCACAAACCCUUUCCUAGAAUUAUGAGAAAUAUAGGAUUUAUAUUUCUCUGGGAAAAAUGGAAAAAUAAAUCAACAUGUGGUAAGGCAAAUUGCAGGAGGAAUUUUAGCUCAAUGGAUCUGUCCAGGCUUCCCUUUCUGCUGCCUCAACUCUUCAACACUUCUGUUUAAGGUACACACAGAGUGAAAGAGCCAAUGCAGAGCAUUACAGAAAUGUUGAAAGGCACUAUUUUUCCUAGCAGUGUGAUAUUUUGACAUUGCCAUCCCCUUCCUUUUUUCCAAGCCUGCCAGGGAAUUUGGUCUCCACAAAAUAUAGUUUGCAGUGAAUUUGAGUAAUUUGUUAAAGAUGUUGCUGCAAUAUUUCCCCUCUAGUUCUUUCCCCGAAGCUUUAGACUGAAAAGUUUUAAUGUCAUAUUUAAAUAGAAACACAGCUACAAAUUUCCACUGGGUUCCCGGAUUCUGAGUCUGACAA